rnacentral:rRNA from 1 species
AUUGAACGCUGGCGGCAGGCCUAACACAUGCAAGUCGAACGAGUGGCGGACGGGUGAGUAAUCUCUGGGAAACUGCCCGAUGGAGGGGGAUAACUACUGGAAACGGUAGCUAAUACCGCAUACCAUUGGAUGUGCCCAGAUGGGAUUAGCUAGUAGGUGGGGUAACGACUCACCUAGGAGUCGAUCCCUAGCUGGUCUGCGCGGAUGACCAGCCACACUGAAACUUGGCCACGGUCCAGACUCCGACGGGGGGCAGCGGUGGGGAAUAUUGCGCAAUAUGCGAAAGCCUGAUGCAGCCAUGCCACGUGAAUGAAGAAGGCCUUCGGGUUGUAAAGUACUUUCAGCGAGGAGGCGUUACGCGCAGAAGAGGCACCGGCUAACUCCGUGCAAGCGGCCGCGGUAAUAC